UACGUAGGGGGCAAGCGUUACUCGGAUUCACUGGGCGUAAAGCGCGUGUAGGCGGCUGGUCAAGCGUGGUGUGAAAUCCCCGGGCUUAACCUGGGAACUGCAGUCGAGACUGUCUAGCUAGAGUAUGGGAGAGGGAAGUGGAAUUUCAGGUGUAGCGGUGAAAUGCGUAGAUAUCUGAAGGAACAUCAGUGGCGAAAGCGACUUCCUGGACCAGUACUGACGCUCAUGUGCGGAAGCGUGGGGAGCAAACAGG
rnacentral:rRNA from 1 species